AUUUAUUUAAGAUCUGCGGGAAUCUCCCAUGAGGACCUUGCCAAGCAAUGGGAACAGAUAAUUUAGAGAUUUUUCUUCCUCCAUUGACUUCAUGGGCAAUUGAACAAACUACUGAAGGAAGCAAUUAUUUCAGCUAUUGUGCAAAAGACGAAUGGCAGCAGUAUUACCAUCACCUUCUUGAGCUAUGUUUUAAAAG
rnacentral:lncRNA from 1 species